GUCGAGCGAACGGACGAGAAGCUUGCUUCUCUGAUGUUAGCGGCGGACGGGUGAGUAACACGUGGAUAACCUACCUAUAAGACUGGGAUAACUUCGGGAAACCGGAGCUAAUACCGGAUAAUAUUUUGAACCGCAUGGUUCAAAAGUGAAAGACGGUCUUGCUGUCACUUAUAGAUGGAUCCGCGCUGCAUUAGCUAGUUGGUAAGGUAACGGCUUACCAAGGCAACGAUGCAUAGCCGACCUGAGAGGGUGAUCGGCCACACUGGAACUGAGACACGGUCCAGACUCCUACGGGAGGCAGCAGUAGGGAAUCUUCCGCAAUGGGCGAAAGCCUGACGGAGCAACGCCGCGUGAGUGAUGAAGGUCUUCG
rnacentral:rRNA from 1 species